rnacentral:rRNA from 1 species
CGCCGAAUACUGAGUGACUAGAGUGCGGGAGAGGAAAGUGGAAUUCCUGGUGUAGCGGUGAAAUGCGUAGAUAUCAGGAGGAACACCGGUGGUGUAGACGGCUUUCUGGACCGUAACUGACGCUGAGACACGAAAGCGUGGGUAGCAAACAGGAUUAGAUACCCUGGUAGUCCACGCCCUAAACGAUGCAUAUUUGGUGUGGGCAGUUCAUUCUGUCCGUGCCGGAGCUAACGCGUUAAAUAUGCCGCCUGGGGAGUACAGUCGCAAGGCUGAAACUCAAAGGAAUUGACGGGGGCCCGCACAAGCGGUGGAGCAUGUGGUUCAAUUCGACGCAACGCGAAGAACCUUACCUGGGCUCGAACGGCUGGUCAACGGCGGUGGAAACAUCGCUACCCCGCAAGGGGGUCCAGUCGAGGUGCUGCAUGGCUGUCGUCAGCUCGUGUCGUGAGAUGUUGGGUUAAGUCCCGCAACGAGCGCAACCCUUGUCCUGUGUU